CAUGAUACGAGUAAUUUUGAUGACAAAUAUGAGUAUGAAUCAACAGAAUAUUCUUCAAUUGAUGAUUUAAGUGAGGGAAAAAUUCACUCUAUAAAUAAUUUCACCUAUAAUACUGACUGGUAUCUGAAAUAAUAGUUAAAAAAAGGUGAAAGUUUAAUUUUCUACAAUAACAAUUUAGGUAUGUUAAUAAUCGAUCAAAUCAUAAUAGUUCCACCCAAUGUAAAACAAACUAACCGAAUACAUUAUUAUUUUUUGUGGUAUUUUUCAGAAAUUUUCCAAAAUUGAAUAAUCAAUAUUGAUAUUUGUGAGAUGAAAAUGUUGAAUAUGUGUACAAUCCGAUGAUCAUCAUUCAACACAUAAAAAUAUAACUCAUCAACUAUAUCAUCAACAACACUUGUGAUGACUGUUUCCCUUUCUACUACAAAUGGUGUUUGUGCUA